GAUGAACGCUAGCGGGAGGCCUAACACAUGCAAGCCGAGCGGUAUUUGUUCUUCGGAACAGAGAGAGCGGCGCACGGGUGCGGAACACGUGUGCAACCUGCCUUUAUCUGGGGGAUAGCCUUUCGAAAGGAAGAUUAAUACCCCAUAAUAUAUUGAGUGGCAUCACUUGAUAUUGAAAAUUCCGGUGGAUAGAGAUGGGCACGCGCAAGAUUAGAUAGUUGGUGAGGUAACGGCUCACCAAGUCAAUGAUCUUUAGGGGGCCUGAGAGGGUGAUCCCCCACACUGGUACUGAGACACGGACCAGACUCCUACGGGAGGCAGCAGUGAGGAAUAUUGGACAAUGGGUUAGCGCCUGAUCCAGCCAUCCCGCGUGAAGGACGACGGCCCUAUGGGUUGUAAACUUCUUUUGUAUAGGGAUAAACCUACUCUCGUGAGAGUAGCUGAAGGUACUAUACGAAUAAGCACCGGCUAACUCCGUG
rnacentral:rRNA from 1 species